CGUACACUCCUACGGGAGGCAGCAGUGGGGAAUAUUGGACAAUGGGCGCAAGCCUGAUCCAGCCAUGCCGCGUGAGUGAUGAAGGCCCUAGGGUUGUAAAGCUCUUUCACCGGUGAAGAUAAUGACGGUAACCGGAGAAGAAGCCCCGGCUAACUUCGUGCCAGCAGCCGCGGUAAUACGAAGGGGGCUAGCGUUGUUCGGAUUUACUGGGCGUAAAGCGCACGUAGGCGGACUAUUAAGUCAGGGGUGAAAUCCCGGGGCUCAACCCCGGAACUGCCUUUGAUACUGGUAGUCUUGAGUUCGAGAGAGGUGAGUGGAAUUCCGAGUGUAGAGGUGAAAUUCGUAGAUAUUCGGAGGAACACCAGUGGCGAAGGCGGCUCACUGGCUCGAUACUGACGCUGAGGUGCGAAAGCGUGGGGAGCAAACAGGAUUAGAUACCCGAGUAGUCCCAU
rnacentral:rRNA from 1 species